GCCAGCAUAGUGUAAUGGUUUGAAUACUGCAUUAUGACUGGAGACCAGGGUUCGAUUCCCUGCUUAGCCA